UACGUAGGGUGCAAGCGUUGUCCGGAAUUAUUGGGCGUAAAGAGCUCGUAGGCGGUUUGUCGCGUCGAAUGUGAAAACCCGGGGCUCAACCCCGGGCCUGCAUUCGAUACGGGCAGACUAGAGUUCGGUAGGGGAGUCUGGAAUUCCUGGUGUAGCGGUGAAAUGCGCAGAUAUCAGGAGGAACACCGGUGGCGAAGGCGGGACUCUGGGCCGAUACUGACGUGAGGAGCGAAAGCGUGGGGAGCAAACAGG
rnacentral:rRNA from 1 species